GUCCAAAGAUUAAGCCAUGUAUGUCAGGACAAACUGUGAACGGCUCAUUAGAACAGAUAUCAUUUAUUCGUACAGUCCUUUUGGACAACUGUCCGGAGCUAAACAUGCAAUAAACCCCUGUACGCUUGGAAGGGUGCAAUUAUUAGCGCGAACCAAUCAUCUUCGAAUGUUUGCUAAAUCUGAAUAACGCAACCAGUGCGCCUGGAUGUCCCUAGAAGGUGUCUGUCCUAUCAACCUGAUGGUAGUCAAUUAGUUUACCAUGGUUGUGACCGGUAACAGAGAAUAAGGGUUUGACUCCGAAUAGUAAGCCUUAGAAACGGCUACCACAUUCAUGGAAGGCAACAGGCGAGGAACUUAUCCAAUCUUGAAUAAUGAGAUAGUGACUAAAAAUAUGAAAACCAUUCCUAUGGAACGGUCAUUCCAAUAGGUUGAUCAUAAACUCCUUUUCGAGGCUCAAGGGGAGGGCGAGUCUGGUGCCAGUAGUCGCGGUAAUCCCAGCUAUUA
rnacentral:ncRNA from 1 species